AGAUGUAUCACUAUUGUAUUGCCAGAUGAUAUCACCAGACUUCAUUUGUAAAAGCUCUAAAUGGUCUAAAGAAAAACAGUUACCGUUUGACUUUGCAGAAGUUCUUUGUCUUCAGGGAGAUUCGUGGAGACAUCCUGACAAGUACUCUGGAAUACAGGUUUCUGGUGACUUGGAGAUUAUACCACUAAACAAUAGGGAGACAGCCUGCGGACAUCCAAGUCUCUGAAAGAAGAGAGUUAAAUUGUGCUCACAGAAGGGAUAAAGCAUGGUUUCUUCUAAUCAGCGAAGGGACUGGACUCUGGGUGUAGGACACCAUGUGGCCACAGUCCCUGGAUUCAGCAGAGAAGCAUCCAUUCUUCUCCACCAUUACAACUAAUUAUAUAUGAUGGUAGCUUAUAUCUAAAGAGCAUUUGCCGUGUGCCAAACACUGUACAAAGAUCUUUGUGUGCAUAAUUUCAUAGAUUCCUCACAACAAUUCCGAAGGAAGAUCAUGCCCCAUUUUACAGAUGAGGAAAUAGGGUCCCAGAGAGGUUAAGAGCUUUCCCUAGGUCACACAAUGGUGCGGCCAGGAAUGAAACA